GAUGAACGCUAGCUACAGGCUUAACACAUGCAAGUCGAGGGGAAACGACAUCGAAAGCUUGCUUUUGGUGGGCGUCGACCGGCGCACGGGUGAGUAACGCGUAUCCAACCUGCCCACCACUUGGGGAUAACCUUGCGAAAGUAAGACUAAUACCCAAUGAUAUCUCUAGAAGACAUCUGAAAGAGAUUAAAGAUUUAUCGGUGAUGGAUGGGGAUGCGUCUGAUUAGCUUGUUGGCGGGGUAACGGCCCACCAAGGCGACGAUCAGUAGGGGUUCUGAGAGGAAGGUCCCCCACAUUGGAACUGAGACACGGUCCAAACUCCUACGGGAGGCAGCAGUGAGGAAUAUUGGUCAAUGGGCGGAAGCCUGAACCAGCCAAGUAGCGUGCAGGACGACGGCCCUAUGGGUUGUAAACUGCUUUCAGUCGGGAAUAAUUCGUCGGUCGUGACCGACGUUGCAGGUACCGUCAUAAGAAGGACCGGCUAAUUCCGUG
rnacentral:rRNA from 1 species